rnacentral:rRNA from 1 species
GACGAACGCUGGCGGCGCGCUUAACACAUGCAAGUCGAGCGAGAACCAGGGCUUCGGCUCUGGGGACAGCGGCGAACGGGUGAGUAACACGUGGGUAAUCUGCCCUCGGCACCGGAAUAGCCCGGGGAAACCCGGAUUAAUGCCGGAUGGCCCACCCGCCUCUCGAGGCGGUUGGAAAAGGUAGCUUCGGCCUCCGGCCGAGGAUGAGCCCGCGGCGGAUUAGCUUGUUGGCGGGGUAACGGCCCACCAAGGCGACGAUCCGUAGCUGGUCUGAGAGGACGAUCAGCCACACUGGGACUGAGACACGGCCCAGACGCCUACGGGAGGCAGCAGUGGGGAAUCUUGCGCAAUGGGCGAAAGCCUGACGCAGCGACGCCGCGUGCGGGAAGAAGGCCUUCGGGUUGUAAACCGCUUUCAGGAGGGACGAAGCCACUCGGGUGAACAGCCCAGAGGGUGACGGUACCUCCAGAAGAAGCCCCGGCUAACUACGUGCCAGCAGCCGCAGUAAGAC